rnacentral:tRNA from 1 species
GGUCCUGUAGCUCAGCAGGUAGAGCACAGCACUGAAAAUGCUGGUGUCGGCAGUUCAACUCUGCCUGGGACCA